rnacentral:pre_miRNA from 1 species
UGUGUACUCCCUCCAUUCCAAAAUACUUGACUUCCAUUUAUCCAAAAAUGGAUGUACCUAUAUACUAAGACAUGUCUAGAUACAUAUAUAUUUUGACAAAUAGAAGGCAUGUAUUGUGCAACGGAGGGAGUAGAAU